rnacentral:rRNA from 1 species
UGAAGCGGCAACAGCUCAAAUUUGAAAUCUGGCUCUUUCAGGGGUCCGAGUUGUAAUUUGUAGAGGGUGCUUUGGAGUCGACUGUGGUCUAAGUUCCUUGGAACAGGACGUCGCAGAGGGUGAGAAUCCCGUAUGUGGCCGCCAGUCUUCUCCGUGUAAAGCCCCUUCGACGAGUCGAGUUGUUUGGGAAUGCAGCUCUAAAUGGGAGGUAAAUUUCUUCUAAAGCUAAAUAUUGGCCAGAGACCGAUAGCGCACAAGUAGAGUGAUCGAAAGAUGAAAAGCACUUUGGAAAGAGAGUCAAAAAGCACGUGAAAUUGUUGAAAGGGAAGCGCUUGCAGCCAGACUUGCCUGUAGUUGCUCAUCCGGGCUUUUGCCCGGUGCACUCUUCUAUAGGCAGGCCAGCAUCAGUCGCGGCGGUUGGAUAAAUGUCUGCACAAUGUACCUCUCUUCGGGGAGGACUUAUAGGGCAGGCGGCAUACAACCAGCUGCGAUUGAGGUCCGCGCAUCUGCUAGGAUGCUGGCGUAAUGGCUGUAAGCGGCCCGUCUUGAAACACGGACCAAGGAGUCUAACAUCUAUGCGAGUGUUUGGGUGUCAAGCCCGAGCGCGUAAUGAAAGUGAACGGAGGUGGGAACCCCUCGGGGUGCACCAUCGACCGAUCCUGAUGUCUUCGGAUGGAUUUGAGUAAGAGCAUAGCUGUUGGGACCCGAAAGAUGGUGAACUAUGCCUGAAUAGGGUGAAGCCAGAGGAAACUCUGGUGGAGGCUCGCAGCGGUUCUGACGUGCAAAUCGAUCGUCAAAUUUGGGCAUAGGGGCG